GGGCAUUUUGGUCUUUUCCACAUCCUUCCCCAGCUCUAUAAAUACCGAGGCAAGGGCCUUCAACUUUAUUUUUCUUUUUUACAACCAGAAAUUAGGGUUUCCAAAAUCAAAAUACUCUCUUCUACUUUCAUAAAAUUCAAGAGAGAUCAAGAAGGAUCUAGAUAAAUCAAGAACUCCUUUCAAGAGCCUUCAAGAAAAGAAAUUCCCAGGUAUGUAGAUGUUGAUUCUUAGGUCCCUUUCAUCCAAGAAGCUCAAGUACCCUUUUUUUAAAAUUAAGGAUUUUAUGUUUUGUGAUAUUCCAUAAUUUGUAUGAGUUGAAGUUGAUGUUACUUGUGUUGUUCAGUUUGGAUUUAUGAUUGUUUGCAAGAUUUAUGGUCUUUGACCCUAGUAUGUGGAAUUUAUGUGAUAUUGUGAUGAGCCUUUUUGAAGUUGGUAUCUAUGUGAGGUGUUCAUGAUGUUAGGGUGUAGAGAUGGUUGAAUAAGCGGAGUAUACACCCCAUAGGUUGGAUGAAAGGCUGAGGUGAAGUAUAGAGAGGCAUUGUAGUCUGUUAAAAGGGAAACCCAAAGUUGUAGUCUAGUCCAUGCACACCUAGUGUUUGGUAAAAUGCCUUAGUAAGCGGAAUGAGCCAUAAUAAUAAUAUGGAAUCCCCGAGUAGGUGUUGAAUCGGACAUGUCUAGUGGUUGUUGAAAGACUAUAGUGAGAAAGAUAAGACAAAAUAGCGGUAAAUCUCCCAAGUGAGUGCUCUUUGAUUUAUUUUAAGUUUUGAUACAUACUAAGUAGUUACCAAGAGAAUAAUGACAUGAUAGUGUGAUGUUUUCUCAAAAUCUCAUGAUAUCUAGUUAGUUGUCGAGACUGAUAUAGGUGUGAAGUACUUGAUACAAGACCUCAUUAAAUGGGGUAUAAUUUAAUAGCAUGUCUUCUAUAAGGUUGUUUGUGACAAUGAAUCGAUAUUGAUGACCCCCCCAAAAUGUUGGGAGCGAUCCUUUGGUAAUCAUAAUGGUGAAUAGAGGUUUAUAUUUCCUAAAUGAUGGAUACGAUUUCAUAAGUUUUGUGAGGGAGAAAGUAUGUUAUGAUUCUGAAAUAGUUAGAGUGACCCCUUUGUAGUUUUGAUGAUGAGUAGACAUUUGUGAAUCCUUGGAGGCUUGAGGUGAUGUUCUAAUGUUUGUGAAAUUGAAUAUAUGGCAUGAUUUCUGAGUUUCUUGUGAAUAUGCCUAAAUGAUGGUAAUGAUGCAUGAAUGCUUGUGAUGCUUGAAUGAAUGAUGAUACUUUACUUCUAUGUUAUCGAGUCCUGGGGGUAUUUAUACCCGAAAAUAAAGCUAUUGUCUAGAGCCCGUGUCAGUUUCUCAAUAAUUCUAAUCGAGCCAUGAUAUUCAGAACUCAAUAAACUAUAGAACUCUGUAUCCUCAAACAAGUGCAAAGCUUAAUAAACCUCAGUAAUCUCAGUUAUCUCUGUAAUCUCUGUAUUGCUAGUAAUCUAGCCUCAGACCUAUACUCAUCCCAGUCCUAAUGGAACUCAAGUGAUUCAAAUCUAAUCUCAGAAAUGAUUCGAAUAAUCUAAUCAAGCCAUGUAUCGUCAGUCAGAUAUCGUGAUUUGAUAUUGUUUUGGUCAGAUACGGAACCAAGUGAUCUCAGCGUAUUUUAGCCAAAUCAUUUGAAAAACAUGAUCAUGUAAAUAGAUUCAGCUUUAUUGUGUUUAUUCUAACGAUUCAGUGAGAGCCUUUCAGUUGGGAGUAGAAACUAGCACCGAGCGAGGGAAGGGAUGGUGAUUCCUCCCGUCAGAGAGAGUGUCGAGAGUCUUUAGUAGCAAUCCCUGAACGCCAAAUCUAUGCAGCCAACAUAGGAUACAGGAGUCCCCAUCAAUAGAGGUUGUCACCAUCAGAGAGGUUGACUAUUAUAUUACCUCAGGUCGACUUCCUGUGAGGGUCAACCUAUCAGAGUGGCUUAACCCGAGAGUGAGUCUUUACCCAUGGCACGGUAUUAACUCCCUUCCAGUUGGGGUUACAGAUUGGACCCCACUUUUGGUAGGUUGGGGCAUAUUGGUUAAGUGACUACUUCCCACAGUUGUAAUUUCAGUAUCAAUCUUUAGAAGUCAAGACCGUGUGGUACAGUUGUAUAUCUCAGUAAGGAACUCAGAUAGUUCUAUUGAUUCAUGGACCAUCCCGUUAGAUAGGCUCGGCCGCAUAUACAGAUACUUACUAUCAUAUUUAAAGAUCUCCCAUCAGAGAGGCUUGAUCUCAGUCUUAGAUCAUGUUGAAAUUCUUAUUAUCAUAUUUAAAGAUCUCCCAUCAGAUAGGCUUGGUCUCCUUCUCAGAAUUUGUUGAGUAUUCUUGUUGUUGGAUUCGGAUAUAAUCCUAUUUUGUUAUCAUUGAUAAAGUUUCCAAAGUUAUCUAUUAGAAAAGUUGAAUCUCUAAUUCUUUCGGUUGAAGCGGUAAGAUCAAAACUCAGUCUUUGAUAUAAGUAUACUUAGAUCCUCAGUUAUCAAUAGAAGAUGAGUCAGUGGUUCAGCAUCUCAGUGAUGGUAGUGAGUUUAGCUCACAGUAAAGCGGUAUCCAAGGUCAAGUCUCUAGAGUUGUGAUGAUUAUGAGUAUGAUUUUUGCGUUCUUGUAUGCGUGCUUAUUUUCGUGCGGUAUUCUCAUGAUCAUUUAGGUUAUACAUAUUUUGCAUGUAUAAGCCCUUGUAUUUAGCCUUACCCCAUCAACAUACUCGAUAUAUUUUGUGCUAACGUAUUUGCGCUAUGGUGUCUCAUUUGACACCAAAGGUUUAGAGGCACAGGACCCAGAGUAUCAUCAGCAGAUCAGUCCCAGUCAGCAGCAGUAGCAGUGAGUCCUCUUCUUUCAAGGAUAAGUUUUAGUUUUCUGUUAUUGUAAUCAAAAUUUUAUUUACUUUCAGUUGAAAGAGUUAGUUGGGGACCUGGCCCAUCAAAUCAACAAUUCAAUCAGAUUAGAGGCUUUUUAGACGGAUGUAUUAUAUAGUAUUUAGUUUUAUAUUUUAGUAUUUAUAGAUGUGUUGAACUUUAUGGCCAAUUUUUGCAUUUAUUCCAGAUAUUAUGCAGUGCACAGGUACAGAUAUCAGUAAAGGGUUAGCUUGUGGUCCUUCGGGGUCAUAAGCACCGUAUGACAUCUCAGGAUAGGAUCUCGAGGCAUUAAAAUCUUGGUAUCAAAGCCUAAGGUUCAAGAGUGUCCUAAGGAGUCUCUAAAGCCUUAUCUAGUAGAGUCUUUUGCAUGGGUGUGUAACGUGCCACAUUUAUGUACAAGAGGCUACAAAAUGCUUUUAGGAGAAGUUUCCCUUCUUUUAGUAAUCAUUUCAUAUGAGUGAGCAUGAGCUCAGGUUGAUCCUCAGUCUAAUCCACUUCUUUCUUUCAAUUAUAGAGUAUGCCUCCUCGCAUAAGUUUUGUCCGUGGGGUCGAUGAUCAGCCCCCUCAACCAGUAGAACCUGAUAAUGAGAUUGUGUCAUAGGAAGAGUUUUGGGCAGCUUUUUAGGUGCUAGCCCAAGCUGUGACUAAUGUUCAAGGAAACCUUCAGGCUACAGUCCCACCUCAGCAAGAUAGGAAUUCCGCCGCAGCUAGGAUUAGAAAUUUUAUAGAAAUGAACCCUCCAGAAUUCUUUAGGUCAGUAGUAGGUGAGGACCCAUAACUUUAUCUAGAGGAGGUGAAAAGAUCACCCAGAUUAUGAACGUCUCUAGGGAGGAGACUGUGGAGUUAGCAUCUUAUAGGUUGAAGGAUGUUGCUCAUGAUUGGGUAGUGAUGUGGGAGAAGGGUAGAGGGGAGAAUGUCUCUCUCGUGACUUGGUCAGAGCUUUAGAAUGCCUUUUUAGAUAGAUUCUUUCUUCUUGAGAUAGGAGAAGCUAAGGUAGAAGAGUUCAUAUAACUAAGGCAAGGUUCUAUGACUCUGAAAGAGUAUUGUCUUAAGUUAAACCAAUUAGCUAAGUACGUUUCCGACUUGGUAGCUGACCCUAGAGUGAGCAUGAGUAAGUUUCUGUCUGGGGUUUUGAGUUAUGUGUUGAAAGAGUGUAGAGAUGCUAUGCUAAAUAGAGAUAUGGAUAUAUCUAGGCUAAUAAUGCAUGCACAGAAAAUUGAGGCGGAUAAGAUAAAAGAAAGAGAGAGUGUUAGUAAGAGAGCCAAGAUAGGUAGUCAUGGUUUCUCACAGUCAGGAUCCCAAGGUGGUAGUGGUUCUUAGCAUGGUUGGAGAUUUUUAGUUCCAGCUCCAUCUUCGGCUAUUCUACCCGCACCUGUAUUUAGGGGUGUCAGAUCCGAGGAAGGGCCAAGCUCCAAGGCCCAGAGUAGUGCUAGUGGUGUUGUACCCAUCCAUUUUGUGGAGAGUGUGGCAGGCACCACUAAGGCAUUUGUAGAGCCGGUAGUGAUAUGUUCUUUGGGUGUGGUGAUCUAGGCCAUAGAAUACGAGACUAUAGAGUCUUAAUAUAGAGGGGUAGACUUUGUGCGCUUCAGGCUUGUCUUGAUCAUGAAGGUCUCCCCGACAUAGACCCGACAAUGUUAUGAGCCCUUCAUCUAUAUGACAUAAAUUUUUAGAUCCAUUGAUUUCAUCUUGAGCAUUAUAUGUUAGCAUGAGUCAUGCAUGAGUUUUAGAUCUCAAUCGAUCAAUCAUGACCCAGGCGGUAGGUUCCUCGUGCACCGCUCCAGUAUUUCAGCAAAGUGUGUUAGAGGGACAUAGGGUCACAAGGGGGAGAUACCCCAUAGUAUUAUGAUGUUUGCAUAUCCUUAAGUUUAUUUAGAUUAAUAUUCUUCUAAUGAAGCUAGCAUCAAUGAUCAUUGUAUUGUCAGUCGUGCUUCCAAAGGUCAGUUUAAUUAGACAUUCAUGCAUUAGAUAUGCACGUUCAGUAGAAAGAGUUCAUCUUGUCAGUGCGUGUUCAGCCAUGCAUUCGUGAGAUUAGCCUAGAUAUGAGUCCAUACAUCAUAUGUUCAUUCAUGCUAUGAGGAUUCAGCUCCAAGUAGCUUCAGUCGAGUGUUCUAUGUGUUAGAGAUGCGUGCCCAGUAUGAGUACUCAGUAUGUUAGUCAUUCUAGUUAUGCAGUCAUGCCUUGAGAUAUUUCUGUUUCUUGAGUAAGUUCUGUUGAUCAGUAUUCCCAGUCUACCAAGCAAAAUUCGAGAAUGAAUGUUCCCAAGGGGGAGAUAAUGUAAUACCCCGCAAAUUUCUCUUGUAGUCUGAGCCUUAGAACGUAUCCAGUGAAGUAGAAAAUCUGAGUCUAAAAGUUUUAGAAGUAUCUUCCCAAGUAUGAAACACUUUGAAUCAUGUGUAAUUUCCCUAAUUACUAAUUUAGUCAUGUAGAUAAUUGAACAAGCUUUCCAUCUAUACAAAUUUUAUCAAAAUCCGACAUUAGACGAAGAAGUUAUGACCGUUUUACUAAGCAUUGUCGGAAUUGCAGGUUUGACGGUCGAUCUAACGAAUCCUCAAGUCCUUGCUGGACCGUCAAGUGUCCCAUCAGACCAAGGCAGUGGCUUUCUUUUUUGGUCAUCAUGUGAUGGCCAAAGUGGUGGACCGUCAAUUUCUGACAGACCAUAACUUAGACCGUCACUCCAAGGCAGAGCAUCCUAGUUUUGGCACUUGAGUGACGGACGACUUUGUGGACCGUCAGUCCCUCUAACGGACCAUUAGGUCGACCAUCACAGACCCCGAUCGGAAUUUUCUAGACAAAUUUAAAGGGGCAUUUUGUUUUUUUCCACAUCCUCCCCUAGCUCUAUAAAUACCAGGCCAAGGGCCUUCAACUUCAUUUUUCUCUCUUCCACCCAAAUAUUAGGGUUUCCAAAAUUAAAAUACGCUCUUCUCCUUUCAUAAAAUUCAAGAGAGAUCAAGAAGGAUCUAGAUAAAUCAAGAACUCCUUUCAAGAGCCUUCAAGAAAAGAAAUUUACAGGUAUGUAGAUGUUGAUUCUUGGGUCUCUUUCAUCCAAGAAGCUCAAGUACCCUUUUUUUAAAAUUAAGGAUUUUAUGUUUUGUUAUAUUCCAUGAUUUGUAUGAGUUGAAGUUGAUGUUACUUGUGUUGUUGAGUUUGGAUUUAUGAUUGUUUGCAAGAUUUAUGGUCUUUGACCCUAGUAUGUGGAAUUUAUGUGAUGUUGUGAUGAGCCCUUUUGAAGUUGGUGUCUAUGUGAGGUGUUCAUGACAUUAGGGUGUAGAGAUGGUUGAAUAAGUGGAGUAUGCACCCCAUAGGUUGGAUGAAAGGCUGAGGUGAAGCAUAGAGGGGCAUUGUAGUAUGUUAAAAGGGAAACCCAAAGUUGUGGGCCAGUCUAUGCACACCUAGUGUUUGAUAAAAUGCCUUAGUGAGCAGAAUGAGCCAUAAUAAUAAUAUGGAAUCCCCGAGUAGGUGUAGAACCGAACAUGUCUAGUGGUUGUCAAAAGACCAUAGUGAGUAAGAUGAGAUGAAAUAGUGGUAAAUCUCCUAAGUGAGUGCUCUUUGAUUUAUUUUAAGUUUUGAUACAUACUUAGUGGUUAGCAAGAGAAUAAUGACAUGAUAGUUUAAAGUUUUCCCAAAUUUUCAUGAUAUCUAGAUAUAUGUCGAGACCGAUAUAGGUGUGAAGUACUUGAUGCAGUACUUCAUUGAAUGGGGUAUAAUUUAAUAGCAUGUCUUCCUUAAGGUAGGUUGUGAUGAUGAAUCGAUAUUGAUUACCCACCUAAAUAUUGGGAGCAAUCCUUUGGUAAUCAUGAUGGUGAAUAGAGGUUUAU
rnacentral:lncRNA from 1 species